rnacentral:rRNA from 1 species
AAGCCAUGCGGCGACGCAGAGCAGAACCCGAAAACCUGUCUCAGUUCGGAUUGAAGUCUGCAACCCGACUCCAUGAAGCUGGAUUCGCUAGUAAUCGCGCAUCAGCCACGGCGCGGUGAAUACGUUCCCGGGCCUUGUACACACCGCCCGUCACACCAUGGGAGUCGGAAAUGCCCGAAGUCAGUGGCCCAACCGGAAGGAGGGAGCUGCCGAAGGCAGGUCCGGUGACUGGGGUGAAGUCGUAACAAGGUAAC